GCCCGCUUGGCUAAGUGGUAUAGCGUGUCACUAGUAUUCCCACUAGAUGCCAUGACAAGAUCAGCGGUUCGAUUCCGCUAGUGGGCA